rnacentral:misc_RNA from 1 species
AACGCACAUUGCGCCCCCUGGCAUUCCGGGGGGCAUGCCUGUCCGAGCGUCAUUGCUGCCCAUCAAGCCCGGCUUGUGUGUUGGGUCGUCGUCCCCCCCGGGGGACGGGCCCGAAAGGCAGCGGCGGCACCGUGUCCGGUCCUCGAGCGUAUGGGGCUUUGUCACCCGCUCGACCAGGGCCGGCCUGGGGCCAGCGGGCGUCUCCAACCAGUUUUCGUCAGGUUGGCCUCGGAGCAGGUAGGGAUACCCGCUGAACUUAA